rnacentral:rRNA from 1 species
UACGGAGGGUGCGAGCGUUAAUCGGAAUGACUGGGCGUAAAGGGUGCGUAGGUUGUUGAUUAAGUUAUCUGUGAAAUCUCUGGGCUUAACCUGGGGCUGUCAGAUAAGACUGAACGACUCGAGUAUGAGAGAGGGUAGUGGAAUUUCCGGUGUAGCGGUGAAAUGCGUAGAGAUCGGGAGGAACACCAGUGGCGAAGGCGGCUACCUGGCUUAAUACUGACACUGAGGCACGAAAGCGUGGGGAGCAAACAGG